rnacentral:lncRNA from 1 species
AGGAGAUUGUGUAUCAUCUAUUCAUUGUAUUUCUAUUCAUUGUAUUUCUAUUCAUUGUAUUUCUAUCUUCAACAUGCAAUACCAGAUUACAGCCCUGCCAUUAUUUGAAGGCAGCCAAUCCAAUAGUUUCUGAGAUCGGUAUUCAAAAAGUUUAGAAAAAGUAGUACUUUUUUUUGGGGGGGGGGGGGGACACCUGCAUUCAAAUCGUUUUUUUGUCACCUUUAAAGUAACUAUUUGCUGCACCGAGAAGAAAAAAAAGAAGUUGACUUUCCAGACAGUUAAAAGAAUAGUUCUCCCGGUGUCUGUGGUAGGGCGUGUUCUCUGAAGCACAGAGGACAUCUGGUGAUGUGCUGUUGGUGAGGAGGUGCAAAACACAAAAUGGCGAAUGGAAGAGGACGGAAACCACCUAAAAAGAAUCUCAUCAUCAUCAGAGGUUUGCCCGGAGUUGGAAAGAAGAGCCAUGCAAGAAAGCUCCUUGAUGAAUAUGGAAGACCAGACGUGGCUGGAGGGAUAUACUCUGCUUCCAACUACCAUGCUAUGUUCAACUGGAACAAGUUCCACUUCCCACGUAACCAUCAGUGGAAUAGACGGGAUGGGGAUGAGUUGGCGUGACUACCACAUCACUAUAAUAGAGCUGCCUGAAGGUUGUCCUAAAAACGCUUUGUCCAUCAACCAGCUGUACAGAAACUGUCGUGGUAAGAUCCCCAAGCAUAAGUUCAGGUACUGGGAGAAUUACUGGGAAGAAGCUGACGACAUCUGGGAUGUACUUGACGACGGCUCCUCCAUAGACCGCUGGCAGUAUGAAAGAGAGGAAUGGAUCCUCUAGUGAAGACACACCAGUACCUCCAUUUUGUGUGAACUACUGUUUUUAAUAUUUUUUUUUUUAGCUUUUUUCAAAACUACACUUUUAAAGAGUAUUGGUUACCUAGCAACCCCUAGAACCCAACAACAACUCAUACCUUACUGUUGUACUUGUCUUUCUUGCACUGACGCCUGUUUUGGUUGUGUCUGAGGCAUUUUUGGUAUAUCAUAUCGUUGAUCGUUGUUUUGGCACCACUCGAGUUAGAAGUUCAGAACGAGAAACUGUAAGCUAUAUAUAUAUAUAUAUAUAUUUAUAGAAGUAAUGGUCCUCAUAUUGAAAAAAAUAUCAGGAUUAGGGUUUUGGAUUUUUAUCAUCCUAAUCGAGGUGUAGAUUACAUCUCACAUUUCCAGUGUUCAAACAUGUUAACAAGUCUGCAUGGGAUUUUCGUCUCAAUGUGACUCUGUGCAGCCAAUGACAAUGUCCACUUCAGGUAUAAUCUCGGGAGCCACUUGCGGAUUUGACAGCUCUAACGCAGUUUCACCUUAACAAAAAAAAAAAAAUCUGAUUGAAUAGAGUCCUAAAUCGUUCUGGAUAAGUGCAUCUGCUAAACGUCAAAUGUAUAUGUUUACAUCGCCUGAUCCCAUAUCUGUUGCGGUCUCGCCAACUGCUAUUGGUCAUUGGUGUGACCGUAGGACCAUAGGAGUUGGCAAGAGCAUAGACUGCUCUGAGAUCAGGCUACAGUAGCCUACGCAUAAAUUGCAAGGCGUCACACUUUCGAAUGGUUUUCGUGUUGUAUGGUGCUUGAAACAACAGUUGUGGGUUUGAUUCCAACAUGGGUCACAUAUCGUUUUACUGUAUGCUUGAGAUAUGUUUCUUUAUACAGUAUUACAGAAACAGGACUGUGCUGUAGGCUACUAGAUUCAAGCAGAAGUGAUAGAAGUACAGAACUAUGUUUUCCGUAUUAUGUUAUUACCGUCCAACAGAUCUGCAGACUCCUAGUAGUCUAAAGUUAGUUCCUUCGUUUCUGACCGUUCAUAAAGUUUUUGCAUUUUUGUCGUUUUUAACAAUAACGUUUAAAUCUUUUUGAGGUUUUUUUUUCUACACUUUUCUAUAAAUUGGCAUCUAUAAUGUUGUGUUUUUGCUUUCAAUAUGCUUUGUUGCCAGCAAUAAAUAAUUUGAAAUAAUUUGCUUUAAAAUUGUCUCUCAUCAUCAUCAUCAUCAUAUCAUCGCUAGUGCAACAGGAGAGUUUCCUGGUUUCCUGGUUUCCUGGUUUCCUGGUGGGUUAAGUUGUUAGUAGCUAUUGGGUGACUCUACUUGACUCUACGGUCAUCGGAGCUCUCGGAUCCAAGGUACAAUGAGUUAUAACUGUUAUUACAAAGUUGUUGUAACGGUGAGCGACCUGUAAAUGGUGAGGAGAAAGCUGAUUGGGCACCUGAUCAUUUUCAGAGGGCUGCCUGGAUCAAGGAAGUCAGAUCGGGCAAGGUCAACUUUUUCAGAUCGCAGGACGAGGAUAAAGUCAUUUUUCUUGAUGAUAAUAAAAAAAUAAAAAUAAAAAUUGUACCAUUGUCAAAAGAAAAAAGGUUUAAAUAUACAAGGGGAAUUCAGG